GAUGAACGCUGGCGGCGUGCCUAAUACAUGCAAGUCGAGCGAAUGGAUUAAGAGCUUGCUCUUAUGAAGUUAGCGGCGGACGGGUGAGUAACACGUGGGUAACCUGCCCAUAAGACUAGGAUAACUCCGGGAAACCGGGGCUAAUACCGGAUAUCAUUUUGAACCGCAUGGUUCGAAAUUGAAAGGCGGCUUCGGCUGUCACUUAUGGAUCGACCCGCGUCGCAUUAGCUAGUUGGUGAGGUAACGGCUCACCAAGGCAACGAUGCGUAGCCGACCUGAGAGGGUGAUCGGCCACACUGGGACUGAGACACGGCCCAGACUCCUACGGGAGGCAGCAGUAGGGAAUCUUCCGCAAUGGACGAAAGUCUGACGGAGCAACGCCGCGUGAGUGAUGAGGGCUUUCGGGUCGUAAAACUCUGUUGUUAGGGAAGAACAAGUGCUAGUUGAAUAAGCUGGCGCCUUGACGGUACCUAACCAGAAAGCCACGGCUAACUACGUGCCAGCCGCCGCGGUAA
rnacentral:rRNA from 1 species